CAGAGACUCUGUAAUCAGCUGAAGAUUUAACUUUAUUGCUAUUUCCCUGCAGAAUUAUCUGCCUGAUGAUAAGUACAACAAGCAACCCAAUCAGAAAUGUAACUAUAAAGAUUAUGGAAAACACUCUAAAGUAGCUUCGUCCAGAGAAACAUUCUGAAGUUUGGUCAACGUAAUGCAAUAGGUAAGCACAUGAGGUUUUACACUGGUCAAGUUUAGCUUGAGAUGCAUUGUUAGAAUGGUGGCACUGAACACAAUUCCAGUUUUCUUCACAGGCUGUGUUACAAGCAGGGCAGUAUUCACACAAACGGCCAAAGCUUCUUGGGUCAGUGCACUCACAUUUUCCACAUACACAGUUUCCUCUUCCA
rnacentral:lncRNA from 1 species